GUCUUCCUCUACGGUGUGCCGAACGAAGAAGACGCGAUAUUCCGGUGUCGUUUCGUUUUUACAUAUAUUAUUCUCAACAUCGCGCGAAUUUAUUCGAUCUCGUCCCAUUAAUCGGAAAUCGAUAAAUAGGACGAAACCAAUCGAUUCAAGCUCCCAGCGACUAUUUCCCUUAGGCAUCAGGAAAUACCGCGAACGUUACCGGCGAAUAGGCGAACAAGGAAACUGGUCGGCAGUUUACCAAAUACCACCGGGGAAAAGUUACCAUUUCACAAACAACUACGAGCAUGAAAGCAGGGAGUUCGACUUUCUUGGGAGUUCGACUUUCUUGCAUAACCCGAUGGAAACCUUAAACCCCGGCCAAAUAAGAGUGAAACUAAAACGUGUCGCGGGAAAAUCGUUGACCGCAAACGAAUCCCAACAAUCCCGUCGUUAUCGACGCGUUUCGAACACGGUGCUUCUUCCGUCACAGUUGCAACGACUCAUCGAAAACUUGUUGCAGCCAGGCGAUACAACGAAUUCCAGACGGAACCAUACGAAUAGAGAGCGAAGUUCCCUCUCAACCGGAAAAAAAAAAUCCAGCAAACUGCAAAUGAUCCCUGCAAGGUAUCAUUUACGAACGAAAGCGGUCCCUCGGGAACAGCGACAACAAUUCAACCAAAACGUCCGCAGCCGCGAGAAACGACGAACGAAACGGACAAAGGCACCUCGGAGGAAUGGAAACGUUGUCGCAGAGCGAAGAAAGCGGUCCCUCGAAAUGUACGAUUUCACGAGAACGAUCUAAAACGAUUUACGUAGAAUCUCUCGCAGCUAGGUGGGACAACGACGUUGGCGAACUCGUUGGAAAGUCGGCCGUGUGGGAGAUCGAAAUGAUAAAAUGUAAGGAAUCUUACUGGUUAUGUCGUAAAAUCCCUUGGAGCGUUUACCGGAGCAAGGUCACUCUCUGUGUCUUGGUCCGAAAUUCCGUGGGAACGACGGGAAAAGGCGGUCUGCGCGCACUGCACGGCCAGGUGUACACGAAAGUGUGCACCUAUGCGAAAGUCGUCCGCGGAUCGAGGUACCCGUCUCACCGGCAGUCGUAGGUAUACUGAAUGAAACGGCCGCUCGGUACGCCUUUACCCUCUCGACGAUCUUCGUAACAGCCGCGCGCAUCAGUCGGCAGCCGACGGUCGACCGUCGACCGUCGACAAACACGCUCAAACAGCGUUGUACGGCCGGCCGCGGUAAUCGCACGUGCAUCGAUCAACCACUCGUCCCGCCGCGCCGCGCCACGCCGGUUCUCCGCCGGUUCUCCAUCGUUGUUCUUCGACCUUCUGCAUCAUCUUCCGCUAUUUCGAGUGCUGAUCGUCUUUCUGUCCGCCAAAUUGUCCUACGAUGUGCAAGUCGCAAAUUCCAAAGAUCGGCAAAGGAUUGCAACGAGGAUUUCGAGCGACAAAAGUCUCUGAAUUCCUGGCCUACAUACUGUGCAACAAGUUGGGCUUCGUGCUCGCCCACUGCCAUCCAGAAUCAUUAGAGCUCGUUGUUUCUGCAAUUUACGAUCUAGAACGCGGGGCGCGCCGAUACAAAACGACCGGCGGUCAUGCUCGACGGAGAGAGUAGAUUUCCAAGCGGAAUAUUAAUAGUUGGAGCUUUUCGCGGAUUAUUCUUGCCCCGACUCUCGCUGUCAAACCAUCGGGAAGAAGACGGUGAAAUUUAAUGUAUCACUUAAUCUUGUAAUCUGAUCGAGAGCUUAACAGAGAGAUCUUAGAUCGAGA